rnacentral:rRNA from 1 species
CCGGCACGGGUGAGUAACACGUAUCCAACCUGCCGUCUACUCUUGGACAGCCUUCUGAAAGGAAGAUUAAUACAAGAUGGCAUCAUGAGUCCGCAUGUUCACAUGAUUAAAGGUAUUCCGGUAGACGAUGGGGAUGCGUUCCAUUAGAUAGUAGGCGGGGUAACGGCCCACCCAGUCUUCGAUGGAUAGGGGUUCUGAGAGGAAGGUCCCCCACAUUGGAACUGAGACACGGUCCAA